UAGUGACACCCUCACAUAUACAUCACAUUAUGUCGCAACAACCUCUCAUCCACUCACGCUCAUUAGUAUAUGACAAUAUGGCAUCAUUCUCCUUAGUGCUCAACUCGCCGCAUUUCACCUUGCUCUCUCUCCUCGUUGCCACAACCCACGAUUGUUUCUCUCCUCGAUCUUUAUUUCUCUCACAACUCAUUCAUUUUCUCUCUCUUGACCGUUUCUCACCGUCGUGAUCUCCUAUUCGUUUAUUUGUCUCGAUUUUUUUUAUAUCACAAUUUAUUUCUCUCCAUUGAGGUGACAAAGUUUAUUCUUUUUUAUUGUUUCUUUUUUCUAUUUUGAUUACUGUUUCCUAUUGUGUUUUACAUUUAGUAAAG
rnacentral:lncRNA from 1 species